GCCGUUCAAUCUCUUUACCGAUUCUUCCCUGCCUUCGAUGCACAACAUCUAGAAGGCAAACCCUAGAGGUUAUCCACAACUGUGAUCCACAUAAUUGUCGAGUUCACCACAUAAUCGUUGCCAUCUACAUGGAAAUCGAUGCACGCAUCAAAAACCCUAAAAGCUCCCACUUUCUUCUUCAAUCGCCUGACAAAGGAUUCUAAAAUCAAACCGAUUCACUUCGAGAGGAAGAUGUUGACGGUGGUGGUCACCUGAAGAGGGAAGAUGACAACGACAUGGGUUGAUUUAGGGUUUCUCCAUUGGUGGUCUUGUGAUGGUUGUGGUUCUAGGAAAUGGCGAAAGGGCGGCGGCUAGGGUUCCACCAACACAUAAAUCUGACCGAUUUUGGUUUCGGCAGGUACUGGUAUGUUCAAACAGUUGGUUGGUAUUUCAGAUUCAUGAUAUUUUUCAGUCCAGUACUAAAUGCUUUGAGGAAUUUCAAUGCUAAGUAGAUUGGCAAAAUGGGUGAAUUUUUGUGUCUGUCAAAACGGGUCAGGAAAUGGGAUAAAUUUGAGGAGUCGUAUAAUGUAAUGCUCUUUUCAAAUGGUGACAAUUGCUGGAAUGGUCCUGAUAGAAGUUUAAAGGUUAUAUUAAGAUGUGGAGUGAAAGUCGAGCUUGCCGACGUAGACGAACCAAGCAGUUGCGAAUGCCAUUAGUGCUACCAUGGUCAAAGAAGGGACUUAAGAUUGGCAAAGACAGCAACAGAAUCUGAAAAUGUACGAAAAGAAUAUGACGAGGCCAACAGAAAGUUAUCUAAACUAAAAUCAAGGAUAUCUCGCUUAACAAAGAAGCUAGCACAUGAUUUUCGUAUGUUUUGUUUAUUUAAUCUUGUAAAUUACAGAAGUUUUCCGUCUUUUCUAUGGUUCUUCUGUGACCCGUGUUUGACUUUGUAGGACCAGAGAAGGAA